CUAGCCCACUCACCCCAUACAUGAACAGGUGCGAGCAGUUUUCACGGGCUCGGGCAGGUGUUCCUCUAUCCCUCUCCUCUCCUCUCUGGCAAUGGCGGAGGCGACGACAGCGGCGGCACCGAAGGGACCAACCGGAGGCGAGGCCUACUCCCAUUUCUCGCGCGUGAAGUAGUCCACUUUGCGCCUCUAAUCGGUAGCGAACCGAGGCGACAUAGGCAGUGCAAUGAUCCGACGCGAGCUGGGCGGCGAUAAUGGGCCUUCUCUGGCGUCGCCCUCCAUCGUUGGCUUUCUUCUCGCCGGUUGAUGGUGGAGACUGGCGCUUGGAGGUGGGAUCAAUUCAAGGAGGAGGUGGAUGUCAUGCUGUAGGAGGAGAAGAAGGCUGCGGAGAAGGAACAAUAGUACAGUAUCUUCUUAGAUCCAUCCAAAGGCGAUGGCCCUGUUUCUACUCUGUUAUAGAUAAACUAUUCCUUUUUUUCUUCAUUGGAGCUCCACCGUUUUGAAAUAACUAGACUGUCACAUAGUAUUGAGAAAUACCAUGUUCAGCCAUUUACUUAGAAUGGAGUUGGGAUGCUACUGUAUGACAAUGGUCAUCCCAUCAUUGUAAAUAUGCUCUAUUGUAGAAGCCACAUAAAGAACUCGGAAAGGGUAAAGUACAAGUAAAUGUGAAAAGCAAGCCUCGCAGCGAAAAAUCAGGCCCCCAAAAGAAGCACAAAACAUUCGUGCCCAAGUAACUGUAAUCUUAAUGCACAAUGUCACCGGCUUGUUGAUAGGGAGUGUAAUGUCUAGUUAGUUUUUGAGUUAGUUGAGCCACUGCCAUCUGGGGCAAUCAUAUUCUGAACAUAUCGAUAUUUACACCUAUCGAUUAGCUAAUCUUACUAAAGAAAACAAAUGUGCCUUUUCUUAAACUUGAAUAGUCCUGGUAAAAGUACGGAUUUUCACUUGACCUGUGGCUGUCUAUAUGUCGAAGGCUUCUGAAUUUCUCUAGGCGUAGAAUUGAACAAUAGUGAGACAUUGUAGGCGCAGACCUGAAUAAUAGUGAGACAUGGUAUCAACUAGCGAAAAGUGCAAGAUGCAGGAUCAGCUUUUAUUUUUCCAGUUCAUGGUACAUUUGUUCCUCUUUGUCACCUCUUUGAAAGCACUGCAUACACCUGCAGUACAGUAAACUUUCUCAGGGUUGGUUCUCAUAUUUUCACACUUAGCUUAGGCUAACGCUGGAUGGUUAAGCACCUAUUUAUUUCUAGUUUUGAUCUGUUGAUACAUGGUGAAAUGAACAGAACGAUAUAGCUGGGCGUGCUCCUAUUUUAUGUCUAUGUAAAGAAGCAAUGCAAUCUAUAUCGGAUGCAAGUUUGGAAAUGUAUUAUUUGUACAUGCUCCUAUUUUAUGUUGGCCCCACAUCUCGUAACUCUCAAAUUUCUUACGUCGGCUGGCGAAUGUGGGCUAACUCUGAACUGCUAGAUUUUUAUAUGUGGUUGGUUGGACACCUUAUGUUGGCGGACACUAACCUUCUCCCAGCCUGUCAAUAUUCACGGAAGCUAAGUUUGAUUUAUUUCUACUGCCAAGAGGUGGACACUGAUUCUCAUCCAGCCCGUCAAUCUUCACUAAUAUUUUGGUUUAACCUGCUCUCAAUGCAAGAGUAAUCAUGUAUAACAGGGAAAUGCGAUUUUUCCUUUAGGUUAUUGCUUGUUUGUUUUUUGUAGCAGACACCAGAUGGGAAUGUGCUAUUUUUGAUGAGUAAAUGUGAUUCUAGCUAUGCUCCAUCAAUUCAAUUUUUUUCGUAGCCAUGGAUACGUAAAGAAGAUCAACACCAUUAUUUUUGUUUGAAAUUCCUAUAUACUGUAAGACUUUGAUUUCGUGACCUAUUUUCCUAUCUUGUAGAGCCAUCCAUUCAAAUAUGGUUAAUAUCUUCUACCCUGUAUUUACUGUACCACUAUAAUAGAGACGUGCAUUUAUUUUAGUCGAUCAAUUUUUUUGCUGUAGCAAUACUUUCUGUUGUCAUCCUGGUUGUGCUCCAAUUCACUAUUUCCAUGAAUUAAUGUUAGGUACUCCGUCAGCAUGUUCACAUCAUGUGCUAGCCUGCUUUUAAAGGUAUUUAAGUUUUGAUGCUACUGAUGAGGACAUGACUACCUUGGAUACGACCAAAAAUAUUGCAUACAUGCAUAUUUGUCAGGUGUAUGGGACAUUUGUACAAUCCACAUAUGAAGAUAAGGGAAAAGGAGAAGUUUAUGUU